UUCAUGUAACCGCGGGUUACAGGCAAGUUGCACCCCCGGACUAGCGUACGCUAGCUCAAAAACCUUUCAAAUCUCUCCCUCUCCUUCUUCUCAAUCCAAAGCUCGCUUGCGCUCGCCCUGAUUCGCUCUCCCACGUUCAUGGCAGCUCUUCUGGAAGCCUCUUCCAUUCCCAACUCCUCUCUCUUUCCUUCUCUCUCUCAUCCGCUUCAGAACCUCAGGCCUACAAAUUCCCCUCCAAAACCUCUCUCUCUUUCUCUCCUCUCUCCUUCCAAACCCUGUCUCUGCUCUUCUGCUCGUCAGACCCUAGAAGAAGACCCCGAACCUCCACCAGAAAACCCUAACCCUAGACCUAAUUCAGUUGGUGGUCCUCCCAAUGUCCGGAAGGAUCGGCGCAGAGCUGUCCGGAUUGCGUGGGAGAAGCUGGUCCGGUGGUCCCGCUCGUGGCGGUCCAAGGCGAAGGCUGAUGUUCUCGAGCGGACAAAAAAGGUUGUUGUUCUCGGAGGUGGAUCUUUUGGCACUGCAAUGGCAGCUCAUAUUGCAGGCAAUAAGGCUGAAAUGGAGGUUAACAUGCUUGUAAGGGAUGCUCAUAUCUGCCAAUCUAUUAACAAGAGCCACUAUAAUUACAAAUAUUUUCCGGAUGAUAGACUACCAAACAAUAUUACUGCAACUACUGAUGCAAAGGCUGCCUUGCUGGGAGCUGAUUUUUGUCUACAUGCUGUCCCAGUUCAGUUCAGUUCAUCAUUUCUUGAAGGCAUUUCGCAGCAUGUUGACCCAAAAUUGCCAUUCAUAUCCCUCAGCAAGGGUUUGGAGCUCAACACCUUAAGGAUGAUGUCUCAAAUUAUUCCUCAAGCAUUGGGAAACCCUGGUCAACCUUUUGUUGCAUUAUCAGGCCCUUCAUUUGCAUUGGAGCUGAUGAGGAAAUUGCCAACAGCUAUGGUGGUGGCUUCAAAAGACAAAAACCUGGCAAGUGCUGCUCAGCAGCUGAUAGCUUCUCAACAUUUGAGAAUUAGCUCAUCAAGUGAUGUUACAGGUGUGGAGAUCGCAGGCGCACUCAAGAAUGUGCUUGCUAUAGCAGCAGGGAUCGUAGAGGGGAUGAAUCUUGGGAAUAAUUGCAUGGCAGCUCUUGUCGCGCAAGGUUGUUCAGAGAUCCGCUGGUUGGCGACAAAGAUGGGCGCAAAGUCAACAACACUCACUGGAUUAUCAGGAACUGGUGACAUUAUGCUUACAUGCUUUGUCAAUCUUUCAAGAAACCGAACAGUGGGAGUGCGUCUUGGUUCGGGAGAAAAGCUCGAAGAAAUUUUGAGUUCAAUGAAUCAGGUAGCUGAAGGGGUAUCAACGGCUGGAGCUGUUAUCGCAUUGGCGCAGAAAUACAAUGUGAAGAUGCCUGUCUUGACAGCAGUGGCUCACAUCAUUGACAAUGAACUGACUCCAAAGAAAGCUGUUUAUGAGUUGAUGAGCCUUCCUCAGGUUAUUCUGAUCUUUUUUAAAGUUCGUAUUGGCAAUUUGUGUUUUAGCUUCAGUGAAAUGUAUUAAUCCUUGCAUAUCCAGUUUUCCUGUACUGAAAGCAGGUAAAUGAUUUAAAAAGUGGAAGAAGUGUGACGUAAGCGUUGGACAAUAACAUUGAAAGAAAUUUCAUGGGUGCAGUCAGAGACCCAAUUACUGUUUUGGUGAAGUGGUGAGGUAAAACCAUUGGAUGAAUCAAUUUUUUCAAAGAACAAAACCUACAGGAAAAGGUCACUUGUCAUUUUUUCCACGUGCAAUUUAUACAACGGCAGAUGUUUACCUUGGCAUGACAAACUUGGAUGGGAAAGUGAAUUUGCCAGAUUACUGAAGCCUCUUUAGAUUACUGAAGUCGAGAUACUACCUUCUGAAAAUUGUUGGUGUUCUCUUUCCUGAGAAUCAUGUUCAGUGUCUAAGAAUGCUCCUGUCUGAGAUUCUUUGCGAUUGUUAGUGUUCCACUUGGUAGUUGAUACAAAAAUAGAAAAUAAGAAUAGAAGUCUUAAUACAUGUCAAUGGAAAGUGGGUUCUCCCCA